rnacentral:rRNA from 1 species
CAAAGGUAGCAUAAUCAAUAGUCUUUUAAUUGGAGGCUUGAAUGAAAGGUUUGACGGAGGAGAAGCUGUCUUUUUAUUAGAAUUGAAUUUAACUUUUGUGUAAGAAGGCAUUAAUGAUUUAAAGGGACGAUAAGACCCUAUAAAACUUUAUAUAUUAUAUUUAUUUAAUAAAAUAGUUAAUUAAUUAUUGGUGGUUAAUUAUAUUUUGCUGGGGUGGCAGGAAUAUAAUUCUAACUGUUUUAAAUGUAAAAUAUUUAUUAAUAGAGAGUGGUCCUCUGUUUGAGAGUUGAGAGUAAGUUACUUUAGGGAUAACAGCAUAAUUUCUUUUGAGAGUUCUUAUCGAAGAUGGUAGUUGUGACCUCGAUGUUGAAUUAAAUUUUCCUUUUAAUGUAGGAGUUUUAGGG